rnacentral:rRNA from 1 species
GACGAACGCUGGCGGCGUGCUUAACACAUGCAAGUCGAACGGAAAGGCCCUGCUUUUGUGGGGUGCUCGAGUGGCGAACGGGUGAGUAACACGUGAGUAACCUGCCCUUGACUUUGGGAUAACUUCAGGAAACUGGGGCUAAUACCGGAUAGGAGCUCCUGCUGCAUGGUGGGGGUUGGAAAGUUUCGGCGGUUGGGGAUGGACUCGCGGCUUAUCAGCUUGUUGGUGGGGUAGUGGCUUACCAAGGCUUUGACGGGUAGCCGGCCUGAGAGGGUGACCGGCCACAUUGGAACGGGGAUACGGCCCAGACUCCUAGGGGGGGCAGCAGGGGGGAAUAUUUCACAAGGGGGGGAAGCCUGAUGCAGCAACGCCGGGGGGGGGAGGAGGGCCUUCGGGUUGAAAACCGCUUUCGCCUGUGACAAAGGGGGGGGGACGGUAAUGGGAAAAGAAGCACCGGCUAACUACGU